CCCCGCGUCCCCCACUUCAACAUCCUUUAGUUGCUGUGACGGCGCAUGCGUCCUCCCUCACGCCUCUCAACCGCAGAGACCUAGCCAACUGCUACAGCAACGCAGCAACCGUCUGUAGUUAAGGGGACUUGAUGAAAUCUAUCCAUUGACGUAGGGGGCCUAUGGAAUCCCUGUAGUAGAGUGUGUACCCACAGAAAAGAAAUUCUGGAUCCUUUGGAAUACUGAAGUAUCUUUCACAGUGAUACCAGGAUGUUCUGAAAACUGCUAAAUUCAUUACCAUGUCAGCAAAGAACCUUUGACCUGGUGACUUUCAGAUCUGUUCUGUGAUACAGUUUGAGUGUUGGCUGACUCGAUUUAUUUGAAGGAGAAGAUCACUGGGUCAUGAUUUGAUAACCUGAUAUUUCACUGGACAAAUGACUAUCCUGAGGCAGACCUGUCCAUCAUUGCAGACAAUGUUGUCUGAAAGGUCUGGAAGUUCCAUCGGCAGUUGGAAUUAAAUGGUAGCAGAGGAGGAAUCUGCAGUGAUUACUCCAGCACACUUGGAGAGGACAGCCAUUCACAAGAAGAUGACCAACUCAAGUCUGGCUGCAUCUUUUUGGACAGUGUCAAGCCAAGGUGAAAUAUAAAAUGCCUGCUCAGGAGACCUGCAAACUGCUUUAUGUUCAAAUGAGGUUUAAGUACUAGCCUCAUGACAGGUUUUUUUUUUUUUAACAAUAGUUGAAAGUUAUUCUACGUGAAUCAUGCGGAUAUUACAUUGAUCAUGUUAAUGUGUGCCAUGAUUCUUUCAUGCUUAGCAUUACUUUGUAUGUAAAAAUAAAGUACUUAUCCCAUAUCUUCAUAUUGUGUACCAAGUACCUCUUAGAUAACUCCCUUUUUUGUGAGACCUAAGUUGUAAGCUAUUUUUCCUAUGGGCUCCAGGGUGCGUAGCAUGAUGGGAUGAAACACGUGAGAAACAAGCCUACUCCUCAUUAGAGGCCAAGUCCCCCAGGUCUGACCUGGGUCCAAAUUACAUGUCCACACCCCAGAUCAAGAGGAACAAAUGCCCUCAUCCCUAUGGAUCCAGCUAACAGCUCCUCAGGAUUAGAGUGGAUUGUCUCAAUCUUCUCCAUGAAAUAAAAAAUUAGAUUAUCUGCUCUAAGUUAG